rnacentral:lncRNA from 1 species
GGUAAAUUUCUAGUGACUUUAAGUCGAGAUCUAGACAUUUCAAAAAUCCUCACAACGUGGUUUCUCCUCUUAAUCUUGUAUGAGAAAAACAUUAAAAUAGCCAAUUUUGCUCCAUGUUCAUGUUAGAAAACUAUCUUUUUUAUCAACCAAUCACUUGCUGUGAACGGUUGAUAAAAUAGUUGUGACAGAAUUGAAGCAUGAUUGUUCACGUUAUCCAUGAAGCACGAAUAUGAAAGUGGUAAAUGAUGUAAUACAGAGACGUAGUAUAUAGAUAGGAUGGGACACU